rnacentral:rRNA from 1 species
UACUAUAGCUUGACACUGAACAUUGAGCCUUGAUGUGUAGGAUAGGUGGGAGGCUUUGAAGUGUGGACGCCAGUCUGCAUGGAGCCAACCUUGAAAUACCACCCUUUAAUGUUUGAUGUUCUAACGUUGCCCCAUAAUCUGGGGUGCGGACAGUGUCUGGUGGGUAGUUUGACUGGGGCGGUCUCCUCCCAAAGCGUAACGGAGGAGCACGAAGGUUGGCUAAGCAUGGUCGGACAUCAUGCGGUUAGUGCAAAGGCAUAAGCCAGC